CCCAGCCAUCCCAACCCUCCGCCAGCACUGCACCGGGGGGAUGCCGGAGGGUCGGCGCAGGGUGGGAUGCGGGUCUGGCACGCUUUCUGCGUGCCGGAGCCAGCUGCAGCCCAGGCAGCGACCGGCAGGGAAAAAUCCAGGCGGGCUCCCAGCACCAUCAUCUGCGGGGAUUAUUGAGGAUGGUAAAUCAAGCUGGGACCUCAUGGCUCUCCAGGGACUCGGUGUUAUUCCCUGUAAUCGCCAAUCUGCCCUGCCCUUCACACACAGGAGCCUGGCACUGCUGGGCAUCACAAGCCGUGACUGCCACCCCAGUGAAGCCAAGGUGGGAUGGACCCAAAGGACAUCACACCCCAGCUUCUCCUCUGGGAUUGACAGAAGACUAAGGGAUUUGUUAUUUUUACACCGCAAUCCAAUAAAUUCAACAAUCUGGUCUGUC